UAUUUAUGGUACUAAAUUUAUAGUUUAAUAGGGAAAGUGGUGCAAAUCCACUACAGCCCCCGCUACUGUAACGGAGACAAAUUUUGACCACUGAGUAAAUUUUACUUGGGAAGGUAAAAGGAGAGUGACCCGUAAGUCAGGAGACCUGCCGUAAAUUCU
rnacentral:ncRNA from 1 species